AGAUUUAUUGAGACAUCUGUCAGCCCAUUGAUUGCCAGGGUUGAUUCGGCUGAUCUGGCUGGGUGGGUGGAUGUCCCCUCCCUCCCUCACCACUCCAUGUGUGUCCCUCCUGAAGCUGCGUGCUUGGUGGAAGAGGACGAUGUCCCAGGUAUAGAAGGAGUGUACUGAGGUCUCCAGUCUUCAGUCCCGGGUAUACGAUAGCUGUGCUCCCCUGUUAGAAUCUCCAAACAAGCUCAAAGGACUGAUUGGGGAUAGGGUGGCAUCUUGUGGGAUGCUACAUAACAGUUUCUUUUUUGAGGAGCAGCUAUCCU
rnacentral:snRNA from 1 species